AUAUAUGAUGGUCAAAAAAGAUAACAUGCAUGUGUCUGAAUUUUUAAAAGCUUAACUUCAGUGUAAGGUGUUAUUGCCCUCAUUGGUAUAGAUAGCACCAGGAAAGGAUAAAUAUGGAAAAAUUCUUUGACAACAGCUGAGAAAGUCAUUCAUAUUCUCACAGCAUUAGGAAAUAUGAAUACUUUAUGUAACUGUACAGUUAUCUUUAAUCUCUGUAUCUUAAAGCACCUUGAAGAAUCAUUUCAUUAAUUUAUAAAACUCCAUGAAAUACACUUGUUCCCCUUUAAAUUUCCUUUUACACAAGGAACAUUUUCCAGGACAUAGAGUAUAUUUAAGCCUAAACCACUGAGGGCCCUGAGAAUUGUAAAUGAAUAAAGAGGGGUUCUGAUCCCUUUUUAUGUUGUAAUUUUUGUGUCUUAUUUAAAAUGUGCAAGGCUCUUGAUCUUGUUUGCCUUUCCUCAAAGCCUGUCCCUUAAUGCCUGUCCCUUGAUGCUUUGAUGUCCUAAACAUGCCUAUGAAACUCAAAUCCUAAACAGGUGGUAGUCUUUUCAUUCCUUACAUAUUAGUGAUAGGGUUUGGAGAUAAUUCAUUAAUGUCUUUCUCCCUUGCGUGUUUAAAAGAUGCCCAUUAAAAAUAUAUGAACCAGAUACUCAUACUGCCUAAGUUGAAUUCUGGUUGGAAUCAGAGCCCUUGCAGGCUCCAUUUUAUGCUGUGGCUCACUGAGUGCUAAGUGUGAGUUUUUUGUUUUGUUUUGACUUAUGUAAAGAAAAAAAGGUGAUCUGAAAGAGCUAGUGAAACUUUUGGCCAUGACUUGUGUAGGCUGCUGGAGAAGUAGCUAUAUUUAUAUGAUUUCUUUCUCAUAGAGUUCAGAGAGUAUUGCAUAUGUUAUUUAAUCUUGCUAAGUAAGGCGAACAAGAUGAAUUAUAUUGUUGUAUGUUAAUAAGAUUUACCUUUAUGCCAACUUUCUAUAGUCAUAGCUUCUGGCCUCUUUUCUUCUCUAAAUGGGAUUUGGUUAUCUGAUUUUUAUUCUGUGAUUGUCCCAAAUUGUUCUCUUUCCCAUAAUCUAAAUAGUCUGGAUUUCUUUCUAAUCCUUCAAACUCUAUUCUGAUUUUGAAUGUUUCCACCAUAAAUGUUAAAUGUUUGAGAAGAUUUUUAUAGUUACCUUGCUUGGACAUUAUACAAUGUAUACACAUUCAAAAACAUCACAUGGUACUCCAUAAAUACAAAAUUUAUGUAUGUGUUGAAAUAUUUUUAAAUAAAAGUUUUAAAUAUGUAAAAUAUGUAAGAUAUUUUGGUGUUUGGACUCAUUUACUGUUUUUCUCUUUUGCUAGAUUUAUUUCAAUGAAAAUAUACUUGCUAGCUCACUCUCCCAGUGCUUGAAGAGAAGUUUCUUUAUCUUAUAGACAGAUGGUUGCUUUUGAAGUUUGAAUAUGUUUUCCUUUGACAGUUUGAUAUAAUAGAAAGAGUAUGAAUUUUGAAGUCAAAAGGGCUUGAGUAUGAAUCUAUACAGUUCUCUGCCAUUUACUAAGGCAAGUACAAUUAACAUAUACUGUACCUUAGACCUAAGAAGGGCCAUUACUCGUGGGUUUCUUGGUUUGAGACCAGGAAAUACAUGAGAAAUUAUUGGUGUAUUUUGGGACAAGUGGACCUUUUGCUAUCCUUUGACAUAAACCACAUAGUUUUUUACCUAUAUAUAAAACUAAUAUUAUUUAUAAUAUAUUCUUUUAAACUGAAAUUAUUUAUUACACACUAUUUUAAGGUAAAGGAGACUGAAGCAUAAUACAGACUGGUAACAUGAAAUGAAGUUGUAAAUAACUUUUUGGUAUAAUUCUGAUGAAUGUUUAUGACCUGAAAUAUGCUUUUUACAGGGUCUCACUUAGAGAUUUCCAAUACCAAUGAUGUAACUGUGAUCACAUAUUUAAAUCAUUUUGAAUUUGAGGCUGCCAGAGGUUUAUCAAAGUGAAUUUUCUUUAUAAAUUAAGCUGAAUAAUUUUCUCAUAAAAUAUUUAAGUAAUAAAUGUUUUGGAAAUUUUCCUUAUCAGACUUAUUUUUAUUUUUCUAAGAAUCUUUUCUCACUUAAAGAGUCACACAAAGACACACAAAUAAAACCCAAUGGUGUGUGUGCAAUAUCUAUGUACAGGUGAUAAGAGUGAUUAAAACACCAAUAAUGUUUACUUCAAUAACCAAUACAGGACCUUUUGCCCUCAGGCUUCAAUUCACAAUCAAUCUGAUUGCCACAGGAUUGUUCAGUUUCAUAUAGAAUUACACUUCCAUGGACAUCAUCCAGAGGUUAUUCGCAAGAGGCUUAAGCAGAGGUCAUGCUGGCUUUUCUAAGUAACUUUCUGGAACAGAAGAGGCUAAUUGCCCCCUUCCAGGAAACUUGUAUUCAUCAAGAAAAGGUUUGCUUUUCAUGUCUUUCCUGGUACACAUCAGUGGAUUUAUCACGAUGCUGCUCAGGAUCUCCCUAAUUCUCUUCUCUCUGUAUUUUUUGCUUCCACAUGUGACUUUCUUUGAAUUGCAUUUCCUCUUUUAAUUGAUUUGACUAAAGGUAAGUCAUGCUAAAAACAGAAGAAGAAAAUAAACAGUUGUAACAAAAUGACACCCUAAAAAAUAGUUUCCUAACAUAUCAUUAUAAUGUUCAUUUAUUAUAUAAUUUUCUAUUAAAAAAUCCUGGAAAAUAGGAUUUUGAAUGUUUCCACCAUAAAUGUUAAAUGUUUGAGAAGAUUUUUAUAGUUACCUUGCUAGCUCACUCUCCCAGUGCUUGGAGAUAAGUUUCUUUAUCUUAUAGACAGAUGGUUGCUUUUGAAGUUUGAAUAUGUUUUCCUUUGGCAGUUUGAUAUAAUAGAAAGAGUAUGAAUUUUGAAGUCAAAAGGGCUUGAGUAUGAAUCAUACAGUUCUCUGCCAUUUACUAAGGCAAGUUAGUUAACGUCUGUAAACUUACGUUUUUUUCCUUUGUAAAAAAGGGGAGAAUUCUUUGAGAAAUGAGAUGAUUCAUAUGAAGGUAUGUGGCACAUGCCAGUCCUAGUGAGUUCUCAGUGAAUAUUAGCUGCUUUUUCUUCUUGCUGAAUGUUGGCCAGAGAGUAUAGUGGUAUUUUGUUUAAUAAGAUAAGGUAAGUUAAUAUAUAAAAAUAACUAAUGAGGCAUACAAAGUCAUGAAUUUGUGUUUUUUCACCUUUGUGGCUUACCUAAUUAACUGCCAUAUUCCUAUGAUAGAAAAAGUGUUAAUAACUGCAUUUACUUGUGCAUUUGUUUUCCAAGAUUUCUUUGUUAAAAAUAUUUAUUUAUUCAUUCAUUCAUUCAUUUAUUUUAAGGCAGAGUAACAGAAUGAGAAAGAGAGAUGUCUUUUAUCUGCCGAUUCACUCCCCAAAUGGGUGCAACAGCCACACUAGCUAGGCUAGUGUGAAGCCAGGAACCAGGAACUCCAUUUCACCCUCCUACAUGGGUGUCAGGGGCCCAGACACUUGAGCCAUCAUCUGCUUUAUUCCUAGAUGAAUUAGCAGGAAGCUGGAUUGGAAGCAGAGCAGUUGGGACUUGAACUGUCACUCCAGUAUGGGAUGUUGGCAUUGCAAGCAGAAGCUUAACCUGCUGUGCCACAAUGUUGGCCCCUAGUCAAAUAUUUGCUGCUACUGUUUGUUCGAUAUUGGGAUAGAUUCUAGAGAUAUGAUAAUGAAGGAUAUGGAAUGGUUUCUGGAGUUGACCUGCUAGGGUAUUUUUAAUUUAUAAAAAAAGGGAAAACUAAAAAGGAAACUAUUUAGAGAGCAUUGACUUUGAUCUUAGUUAUUAUGUAAUACCUGGUAUCAUUCAUAUCCCAAAUGAGAUUUAUCAUCAUCAUUUUUGUAUACAAUUUACUGAAUUAUUUUCGUCCUAGCCAGUAAUUAGAAGUUUUUUUCUUAGGCUGUGCUUGGAAGCUCCACUGAUAAGAAGGUAUUUUCAGUUUUUCAACCACUAUAAGGAACUCUGAGAUAUAGGGCAAUUAUAACUCUGGACCACUUAACAAAAAAGAUUCUGCUUUUCCCUCCUGAGAUCACAGUUUGACCAAACACAGUAUUUGAGGAAGAGAGAGAGUUCACCAUUUUUGUGCAAAAGUAGUCUCCCUCAUCCUUACUCUUUGGAGGAAGCCUUGGCAUGAGCAUGUGAUUAUGUUUUCUGUGUUACUAUACUUUUUACUCCCUGUGGAAUGAACUUGCCACAUGCCCUGGAAUGAUGAGAAUGAAGUCCACAUCCAAAUUGCUGCUUAAUCAUUUUGUCGAGUGUGUGUGAGUGAUUGUCUUAAUCCAAAAGUUGAAUGAGAAUAAUCACCAAGAGAUUCUACCCUCUGUGGUUGUCUUUGCCUUUCUUUCUCUCUUCAUUUUCUUUGUCACUUUCACCCGUUUUCUCUUUUUUACAUUUACUUUCCCUUCACCUCUGAUGGCCAGUAACUCUGUUGGAGCUUUGCCGUUGUGCAAGGUUUAAUCAUGUCCCCAGGAAGAGGGAUAAUUAUUAAACCACUGGAAAUUUAAUGAUGGGUAUUUAUUCUUCAUCCUUAGUCAUUUUGGUGUCUGGGGUUUGGCAUGCCAGUCGGUGGAAACCGAAAUGGGUAAAUGUCAUUAAACCACACGUGAUUUUCCAGUGAUUUAUGUGUGCUUGUUGUACUCCAGAUGGGUGAUGACUGAAGACUUGCUCUGUCUGUCCUUUAUUUGCAGGCUUCCCUUGAUCAAAACAACAAAGACUUUGAAACCAGUCCAGUUCUCUGCAAUGGUAGAAAACAAGUGUCAGUUCACCUUAAUAUGUAGUCACCUUUUCCUUACAUUAUGUAUUCUUCUGUUCUAAUAAUUCCUCUUUGGGAUGCUUUGUUAAGUCAGAGGUAUCUAAAACUUUUAUUUUUAAUUUAUAAAAGUUGAGACAAGAAGUUUACUUUUCCUCAAAGUUAAGAACACAGAUUGUUGGGGAAAAAUUGACAAUUUUUCCCAUUGAAUUACUGUUUACUUUGAAGCAUAUGCAUUUGCUUAUUUGUUGACAAUUAUUGCCUGUCUACACUAACUAGAAUUUUAGCUGCACAAAAGCAAGAAUCUUCACCUCUUUGAUUCAUGGAAGUGUUUAAAACAUUGUUCUUCACAUAUUAGGCACACUUUUAAUUUGUGGAAUAAGUUCUGAAUGAAAGCUGCUAAGUCUUCAGUAGAUCACUUGCUUGAAAUUAUCAUUUUUUAAACAUGGGAGAGACCUGUGUUAUGUCCACCACUUUUUUAUUUCUGUAACCUUAGAAAAAUUUUUGUAUUAUUUGUAAAUAUUUAUUUCUUUAUUAGUAUAGUGGAGAGUUUUUAAAAAUUAACUUUAGAAGGGAAAAGUAGAUGCAAUAAUACAUGAAAAACUGUUUGACACAGUAGCUAGUAUAUGUGAUCUGUGCUCAAGAAAUUUUUCAAGAAGUUGUCUUCCUUCAGUUUAAUGUUGAGCAUUUGUGAGAAAUAUAGGACUAUGAGAAAGACAAUUUUCUAUGUUGAUCUUUUUGUUUUAGCUGAAACUCCAUUGGAAUACAAAUUCAAUUAAGAUAGAUAUUGUGAAUAUUUUUUCUUCCCUGAUAUAUCUCAACAAAAUGAUGCUGGGCACAUAAUAGGUACUCAAUAAAUAUUUGUUGCAUGAAUUAAUAAAUGUUUUAAUACUAGCUCUACCGGCCUAACUUUCUGAACUCCAGUUGUAAUCAGUCAAGUUAGUAGUAGAUUUCAUAAUACCAUUCUAAAAACGCUUCAAUUUUUUAAUUGUAUGGAAAGUGAAAUUACCAAAGAAGUUUUUGGGAACUCAAAAUGAAGGAGAGCAGAGGCUGGAAAUUAUGUCAGAGUUUAGGCUAUACAGCUAUUUUCAACAACUUCGAGUCAAAAGGACAUUUAUUUUUAUUAUUAUCCAAAUUGAUUGCCUAAAAUAUCUGCAUCCACAAUACAUAACUGCACUUCAUGUUCUAUAGGUUUUUUUCUGAAACAUAAUAUUUUACUUACUAUUGGGUUCUUCUAAGGCUUAUGUAUGAGUGGUAGGCAUGAGGGGAUUUGAGGGGAAAAAGUACCAUAGACUUACUGGAGAAUAUAUGCAGUCUGACCCCUGUUGUAAGCCUUGGCUCUGGAAAUACCAGUCCAAAGUGAGUGCUGAAAUGUAAGUCUUCUAUGAAAUGAAAACAAAGCAACCAACCAACAACAACAACAAAAAAUCCUCCAUCUGUUUCCCACAGUGCUAAUUCAAGUUAUUCUGUUAAAUGUCUUCUUUGACUGAUCCUCUGUUGUAGUUUGAAAUGAUUAAGGGGGUCUUCAGUGUUCUAUUUGUAACUAAACAUUUACUGAAGACUCUCUAUGGAUACUUUAAAAAAUGCAUUCUGUUAAAACAACACUUGAUAGGAUCAUCAGCUAAAUUUCUGAAAAUAAUCUGUAUCACGCUAUUUACAGCUAUAUGAUUUUGACAUUUUCAUGUAUUUUUAAGGUUCAGGUUUUGUGUUUUGUAUUCUAUUAAAUACAAUUUAUUUCCGUUCAAUUGAAAUUUAACACACAGAGGUAUUACCACUUCAUGAUAGAUGUUAUAAAUACAUACCAUUGUUUUAUUUUUAUUUACAGGAUGAAAUAUUUUAAAUGGAUUUUCAGUCCAGAGAGAUUAGAUCCUGAAACUUCUCCAAAUACAGAGAUUUUGAAUAGAUUUUAAAAUGUUUUCACAACUGUACUAAAGACAGUGAAUAUGCUUGCAGGCAGAGUUGCAGAAGGCAGAGAGAGAAGAAGAAGAGAGAUAACGGGAGAGAGCUUCCAUCUGCUGGUUCACUCCUCAAGUGGCCACAAAGGCUAGGGCUAGACCAAGAUGAAGCCAAGAGUUUCAUCCAUGACUCCCAGAUUUUCUAUCUGCUGAAUCACAUAUCUUCCUCUUACCAUCCAAGAACAGAGCCUCUCUGAGUCAAUCUCUGCCUGUAGCAAUGUCGUGUUUUCCUCCGGUGGUUAAGAGGAGAAGAUGAGUGGCAGUAUAGGCUUGUGGAAGUCUCAUUUUCUUGUUUGUGAGUUAAACUAUAUCCUUAUGUUUGAAACACACCUGAGUGAAAAAUGUGCUGAGCUGUGGUCUGCCCAACAACUCCAGACUCCAGCUUCCCAUCAAUGCAGACCCUGGGAAACUACAGUGAUGGCUCAAGUAAUUGGGUUCCUGCUACCUAUGUAGAAGAUGUGGAUUGAGUUCCCAGCUGCUGGUGUCAGCCCAGCUCUGCCCAUCCCUACCUGUUGUGAACAUAUGGGGAGUCAGCUAGUGGAAGCAGCUCUCAGUCUGUCUCAGAUAAGUAAGUAAAUAAAAAACAAAAAAGCAAAACAAAACCAGUUUAUUUUCUACAGUUUUAAAAUAAAUCAAAUUCUCUAUAGCAAAUCUACAUUAUUUAUGAAUAAAUAGCAAUUCUGUGACAUAAGAAUUAUUAAAUAAUAUAUAACAUCAGUGAGAUAUAAUCUCCUACAAAUGAAAUUAAUGUAUUGGUACAUUUUAAUAUUUUGUUGCUUAUUUUUUUCAGAAGAAAGAACCAACUUUUAAUUUUUCAAAAACUUUAUUUUAAUUUUACUUGAAAGGCAGAGAGACAGAGACACAGAGAGGUCUUCCAUCUGCUUUUCAUUCCCCAAAUGCCCACAAUUGUUGGGGUUGGACCAGGCCAAAGUCAGGAGCCCAGAACUCAAUUUGGGUCUCCUGUAUGGAUGGCAGGGAGCCAAGUACUUUGGCCACCACCUACUGCCUCACAUGGUCUGCAUUAAUAGGAAGCUGGAGUCAGAAGCAGAGCCAGGACUUGAACUCAGUUACUCCACAAUGAGAGGUAGGUAUACCAGGAUGCAUCUUAACCACUAUACCAAACACCCACUCCAAGGACAAUUUUUUCUAAAGUAAUAUAGCCAAUGUUACGUAAUAUGGAUGAAUUUUUUUUACAUAAUACUGAGCACUUUUGAGAAAUAAUUAUAUAUUUUUAAGGUGAAAACACUGGAAUUAUUUUAAGGAUACUAGGUUUACUUUAUGAGGUCCUUGACCAUUCCUGUUUUUCUCUUAGUGCAGUAAUUUUGUGGAACUGAAAUUUAUGGUAAUUUGUGUGAACAAGAUUUGCAGAUUAUACUUUGCUAUUACUAUUUCCCAACACAAACUUGUAUCAAUUAAUUCAAUGACUCAUGCUUUAGAAAACAAUAGUUAAUUACAGUUUCAAAAAGUACUAAUUUUCUAGCCAUUGAGAAUCUUAAAACAAUUUUCCAACAGCUAUCUGGAGUUUAUACCCAAUGAAGAUAUCUUGCUGAAGUAAUUGAAACCUCUUUGAGGUUUGGUGUCCAUUAGGAUAUGUACAUAAAAUAAUAUAUUUUUUCUGAAGGAUGAUUAGGGUAGCCUAAAACGAAAGUAACUAAUGUCCUAGCUCCCGAUUCUUCCAAAAAUUCAGACUCUGUAUCUGCUAAUUGACUCUGGGUAAAAUAUUCACAGUGGUGGAUUUGUGUAAUUUAAAUUAUACACUUAAAUACUAUAUGGAAUUAUGUGCACAUAAGACACAUGGUUUUGGUGUGUGUUUUGAAGGACAAUAAGAUACUCUAAAUCCUCAAAUUAACUCCUGUACUGGAAUACCUACAUAAGCUGCCAUUCCUAAACUUGUCCUUUGAGUUAAGAUAUUAUCUCCAGACAUAAGACUUCCUUACAGAGCUUUUGAUUGACAAGUUAAUAAUUCCAUGUAUUUUCCAAUAAUUUAUAAAGUUCUUUAGUUAAUUCUUUGUUCCAUUAUUAGCAGUUAGGAACUUAAAUGUAUUAUCUCCUUAUUAGUAGUGAGGAACUGAAGGUCUGAAAAGUUUUAUAACAUGCUCAGGGUCAAACAGCUAGUGGCAGAUGAAGCUUCUGGCUCUAAAUCUAACACUUUUAUGAUUGCAUUAUAGGAAGACUCUAAGAGACCACUGGCUCAUGAGUUAAUGUAUAGAACAUUUUAGCACAUUACUUGGCAUAUCCUUCAAGAAGUUCAUCAGAGUUGGGAGAGUAUCAGAAAGGUACUUUAUGUCACAGUGAUAAGGAAGGCAGUUAAGGACAAUGGGUAUCCAUAGCUGGAUAGGUGGAGGUCACCAUGUGGAAGAUAAGGCUGAUCAAAAGAAGUAAAGAUGGCAAAGGUGGAGUUAGGGAUCUUAUGUCCAAACUAACUAUAAAAUUGCCCCUAGCUAUAAGAACAGUAAAUAUUUCUCUCUUGCCAGAAUUCUUGAGAUCCACAGCCCAAGAGGUUGCCUGGUAUUUUCUAAUAACAAUUCUUCAAUGUUGGGAAAUAGAGUGUUUAUUGAAAAAGAUAAUUUAGGGGCUGGUGUUGUGGUGCAGUGAGUCAAGCUGCUGCCCGUGAUACCAGCAUCCCUUACCAGCACUGAUUUGUGUUCUGGCUGCUCCACUUCUGAUCAGCUUCCUGGUAAUGUGUUUGGAAAGCAAUAGAGGAUGGUCUAACUGCUUGUGGCCCUGCCAUCUACGUGGCAGACUCAGAUAAAGCUUCUGGUUCAUGGUUUUGUCCUAGCCCAACCCUGGCUUUUGCAGCCAUUGGGGUAUAGAACCAGUGGAUGGAAGAUUCUCUCUUCUCCCUCCCUCUCUCUCUCUAACUCUAUCUUCCAAAUAAAUAAAUAAAUCUUCAAAAAGAAAAAGAUAAUUUAGAUUUUUGCCAUUUUCAGAAAUCCUUUAUGGGAUUUAUUUAUACAAGGAAAGACAUAUGGCACUCCACAAAGUACUCCUCUAUGAAUGAUCUAAAUAUGUACAGAAGAAACUCUGCAAGCUAGAUAUUUCCUGCCGUUGCAGCUUUCACUGUAGUCAUUAACUAAUACUCUUUUUUUUUUUUAUUUGACAGGUAGAGUUAUAGACAGUGAGAGAGAGAGACAGAGAGAAAGGUCUUCUCUCCGCUGGUUCACUCCCCAAAUGGCUGCUAUGGCCAGCACUGUGCUGAUCCGAAGCCAGAAGCCAGGUGCUUCCUCCUGGUCUCCCAUGCGGGUACAGGGGCCCAAGCACUUGGGCCAUCCUCCACUGCCCUUCUGGGCCACAGCAGAGAGCUGGACUGGAAGAGGAGCAACCAAGACUAGAACCCAGUGCCCAUAUGGGAUGCCGGCACCGUAGGCAGAGGAUUAACCAAGUGAGCCAGAGUGCUGGCCAACUAGUACUGUUAGUGCUGGAAGAUCUAGUGUCAGCGUAGAUUGCACUGUUUCUUAGCUGAAUGACCCUGGGGAAUUUAUUCAUCUCUUUUGUGGCUCAUUUUCCUCAUCUAUUAAAUUGUCUUUAUAGUAAGAUCUUAGAACAAUGCCUGGCUCAAAGUAAGCUUUCAAUGAAUUUUAGUUACUAUUAAAAUUUCAUAAGUUUAUAAGCAGGGAAUGCCACAAAAAGGAUGAAUACAAUUGAAAUGGCCUCCCAAAAAGUUUUCAAUUUUCCAUUUAUAUUAAUUAGUAUUUUUGUUAAUAUGAAUGUUGUUUAUUUUAUAGUUGCAAUUAAGAGUUUGUUUACUCCACAGAUACCCACAAGAGCUGGAGUUAUAUCUGGCAAAAGCUUGGAACUCAAUCUGAGUCUCCCAUGUUGGUAACAGGGACCCAAGUACCUGAGCGAUUACUUAACUGCUUCCCAGGGUAUGUAUUAGCAGGUAGCUGCCUUGGAAGCAGAGCACCUAGGACUUGAGCCAGGUACUUUGAUAGGGAAUGUGGGCAUCCAAGCAGCAACUUAACUACUGUGUCAAAUACACACACCAUUUUGUCAUUUCCUUUUCAAAUAAUUUACUAUUAGUGUAUAAAAACAUUGCUGAUUUUUGCAUGUCAACUUCAAAUCCUGAAGCUUUGCUGGGUUUGUUCAUUAGUUCUAGCAGUUUUGUAGUGAAGUCUUUGAGGGUUUUCUAUAUAUAGAUAAAGGCUUCAUAUUUUCCCUUUUCAGUGAAAUGUUAGCUGUUCACUUGUUGUUUAUGACCAGCAUUUAUUUUGAUUCUCUCUUACUUCUUUCCUGGUUUGGUACUUUCAUAUCUACUUCUUUUCUUUUAGGUUAAUAUUCUUAGUUUUAAUCUCAUAUUUUAUAUAUGAGAAUUAAAUCAAUUUUCUCAUCCUCUAAACAAGAAACUUUAGCAUGCUUUUAACUGCCAAAAAUCAUCCUCUACUUAGGUUUCUUUUUAGUGUUAUUUAGAGUUUUAUUUACAACUUCUUUAUAACAAAUUUAUUUUAUUUUUGUUGUCUCUGAAAUUAUUGUUGGUAAUAUUGAUUUUUUUUUUGACAGGCAGAGUGGACAGUGAGAGAGAGAGACAGAAAGAGAGGUCUUCCUUUGCCGUUGGUUCACCCUCCAAUGGCCGCCACGGCCGGCACACUGCAGCCAGCACACCGCGCUGAUCUGAUGGCAGGAGCCAGGUACUUCUCCUGGUCUCCCAUGGGGUGCAGGGCCCAAGGACUUGGACCACCCUCCACUGCACUCCCUGGCCACAGCAGAGAGCUGGCCUG